rnacentral:tRNA from 1 species
CCUCCUUAAACGAUGUUGGCGCUACCUAAUGAGUGCUCACACAUUUGUCUUCAUCUAAUUCGGUUGAUGCGACGGUAUCGCCAGCUCGUCUGCGAGCGUUAUUUUUUUUGCAGGCCUGUAGCUCAGUUGGUUAGAGCGCACCCCUGAUAAGGGUGAGGUCGGCAGUUCAAAUCUGCCCAGGCCUACCAAACACGGUUUGGUUUACUUGGUAGACUUUGAGAUUGCUGGAAGGACUCCGGGGCUAUAGCUCAGCUGGGAGAGCGCCUGCCUUGCACGCAGGAGGUCAGCGGUUCGAUCCCGCUUAGCUCCACCAUCUUAUCCAAAGUGGAUAUAUUGCAUCAACGAGAUCAGAAAGAAGUCUGUUUCUAUAAGCAGGCUUCUUUCUGGUUUUUACAGCCGGAACGUUCUUUAACAANGGUAGAUUAAGCUGAAUCUUUGAGCUGACAUAAAGCACUUCGGUGAGUUAUGCGGUUCAUAGAUAAAUUGUUCUGUGAUGAUGGGUUCGAUUCCCUGUUGUCACAACGAGUUGUA